rnacentral:rRNA from 1 species
CCUACGGGUGGCAGCAGUGAGGAAUAUUGGUCAAUGGCCGUAAGGCUGAACCAGCCAAGUAGCGUGAGGGAAGACUGCCCUAUGGGUUGUCAACCUCUUUUAUGCGGGGAUAAAGGUGUCCACGUGUGGAUGUUUGCAGGUACCGCAUGAAUAAGGACCGGCUAAUUCCGUGCCAGCAGCCGCGGUAAUACGGAAGGUCCGGGCGUUAUCCGGAGUUAUUGGGUUUAAAGGGAGCGUAGGCCGGUCUUUAAGCGUGCCGUGAAAUUUUGUGGCUCAACCAUUCAGACUAUUAGCUAAACUGUUAAGCUCGAGACCGUUAGGGGUAACUGGAAUUUCUAGUGUAGGAGUGAAAUCCGUAGAUAUUAGAAGGAACACCAAUAGCGUAGGCAGGUUACUGGGACGGUUCUGACACUAAGGCACGAAAGCGUAGGGAGCAAACGGGAUUAGAUACCCCAGUAGUC